rnacentral:lncRNA from 1 species
UACUUUUAUUUGAUUUUCUCAAGUUAGCAUACAAGUUGAAGUUCAAGUUCAAAAUUCAGGUGUGGGAUUUAUUUCAGUACAUGCCCGUGGUUAAUUCUUGUCCAUUUUAAUAUCAUGUGUUUACCAUAUGUGAGUUGCAUUAAAUUAUAUCGCUAGGGGCCCGCUCAAUGGGUCCAGGACAUUAAAGUCCUUGGUAUGCCACAAUGCGAUUUCAUGUUAAAGUUAUGGUUGCAACCAGUCGCCAGGGGCCGGCUCAAUCGGUCCAGGACGGAAAGGUCCUUGGUAUGCCACCGUGCGACUUUCAGUUACGAAUGUAUUGAUCAUAUGUGAUUCUCAUUUUAUUAAUGUGGACAAUAAUUGCAUGUUUCCCA